rnacentral:rRNA from 1 species
GAAACACGGACCAAGGAGUUCAAAUGGCACGCAAGUCGUUGGGUUUUACACCCGAAGGCGAAGUGAAAUGCAAACGUAUUGUUAUUUGUGGUUGUUCCAUGAUUAAGCGAUAAGCUACUUGUGCUUUCUGGCACUUGUAGACUAAAAGCGUGAUGUUUGAGACCCGAAAGAUGGUGACCUAUGCCUAGUCAAGAUGAAGCCAGAGGAAACUCUGGUGGAUGUCUGAAGUUAUUCUGACGUGCAAAUCGAUAAUCUGAUCUGGGUAUAGGGGCGAAAGACUAAUCGAACCAUCUAGUAGCUG